AAUAAGUAUGUUUGUAAUAUUUCAGAAGUUGACAGAAAAAGAAAAGAAAAAUAGAAAAGAAAAAAAAAUGAAUGAAAAAAAAUAGAAGGAUGUAUACAUGUCAAUACAUACUCCAUAUGAAAAAGGUAAAAAAAAUAAAAAGAGAAAGGAGAAGGAAAAUAUGAAUGAAAACAGUUAUUAUAGAGUUGUUGAAGUGAAUAAAAUAUUUUGUAAAUUCAACUCCCGCAAUUUCUUUCAAGUCUCUUUUAUCUCUUUGAAUUUUAGCCUAAUACCCC
rnacentral:lncRNA from 1 species